rnacentral:rRNA from 1 species
GAUCAUGGCUCAGAUUGAACGCUGGCGGCAUGCCUUACACAUGCAAGUCGAACGGCAGCACGGGAGCUUGCUCCUGGUGGCGAGUGGCGAACGGGUGAGUAAUGCAUCGGAACGUGCCCUGAAGUGGGGAUAACGUAGCGAAAGUUACGCUAAUACCGCAUAUUCUGUGAGCAGGAAAGCAGGGGAUCUUCGGACCUUGCGCUUUUGGAGCGGCCGAUGUCGGAUUAGCUAGUUGGUGGGGUAAAGGCCCACCAAGGCGACGAUCCGUAGCGGGUCUGAGAGGAUGAUCCGCCACACUGGAAACUGAGACACGGUCCAGACUCCUACGGGAGGCAGCAGUGGGGAAUUUUGGACAAUGGGCGCAAGCCUGAUCCAGCCAUGCCGCGUGAGUGAAGAAGGCCUUCGGGUUGUAAAGCUCUUUCGGUGGGGAAGAAAUUGCUUGGGUUAAUACCCUGAGUAGAUGACGGUACCCGCAUAAGAAGCACCGGCUAACUACGUG